GGGUGAGUAAUGCCUGGGAAAUUGCCCUGAUGUGGGGGAUAACCAUUGGAAACGAUGGCUAAUACCGCAUAAUAGCUUCGGCUCAAAGAGGGGGACCUUCGGGCCUCUCGCGUCAGGAUAUGCCCAGGUGGGAUUAGCUAGUUGGUGAGGUAAGGGCUCACCAAGGCGACGAUCCCUAGCUGGUCUGAGAGGAUGAUCAGCCACACUGGAACUGACACACGGUCCAGACUCCUACGGGAGGCAGCAGUGGGGAAUAUUGCACAAUGGGCGCAAGCCUGAUGCAGCCAUGCCGCGUGUAUGAAGAAGGCCUUCGGGUUGUAAAGUACUUUCAGCAGUGAGGAAGGUGGUGUGCUUAAUACGUGCAUCAUUUGACGUUAGCUGCAGAAGAAGCACCGGCUAACUCCGUGCCAGCAGCCGCGGUAAUACGGAGGGUGCGAGCGUUAAUCGGAAUUACUGGGCGUAAAGCGCAUGCAGGUGGUUUGUUAAGUCAGAUGUGAAAGCCCGGGGCUCAACCUCGGAAUUGCAUUUGAAACUGACAGACUAGAGUACUGUAGAGGGGGGUAGAAUUUCAGGUGUAGCGGUGAAAUGCGUAGAGAUCUGAAGGAAUACCGGUG
rnacentral:rRNA from 1 species